rnacentral:lncRNA from 1 species
UACUAAUAUCUUUUUCUACUCAAUUUUCUGUGCACUCACAGAAGGCAGAAACUGUACCUUUCAUUUCCAUGAUUCUCAUGGAUAAAGCCCUCAAUAAAUGUUUGCCAGAUGAAUGACUUGCCCAAGGUCACACUGCUAAUAUAUGGCAGAACCGGGACCAGAACCAAGACCUCCGACUCCCCAGAUCCCAUAUCCUUGCUGUUCUCCUGGGAUGUUUUCUGGAAGAAAAUGAGCUGUGGGCCUAAAAAGAAGCCAAUCAAGCAUUUGGCAGGCUCAGAUUGGAAAUAUACCAUUAGCUGUCCUGGGCCUCGAGUUUGCCAACCUCAGAUCUUGGGACUUCUCUACCUCCAUAAUCAUUAAACUUUUUUUUUCAGUGCCCUGGAUGUGCCACAUUCCCUCACAACUCCGAACCUUGAAAGUGCUGUUCCUUCAGCUUGGAAGUCUUCCUCACUCCUGACCCGCACCACCUCACCUGGCUAACUCCUAUUUACAUCAGGCUCAGCUCAGAGGUAACCUCUAGAGCACUUUCCAUUAAGGCUGUCGUCUGUGGCAAUUGCCCUCCUAUGUACUUCCAUGUCAUCUUGUAUUAUCCACUCUAUUAUGAUCAUCUGAUUUCACUGUUUAUUUUCUGCGUUCCUCUUCCAUGAGACUGUAUGCCACAGGAAGGCAGGAACAAAGUCCACAUCACUCAUACUGUGUCAUUGUGUUUCCAGUCUUCAGAAAAUACCAAUCAAGAAAUAACUGUCAAAAAUGAAUAGUUUCUUGCCUCCCUCCUCCUGCCCUCUAAGUGCAGACAUUGCUUAAGAUUCAUGUUUUCCAGCUUUGCUCGAUUUCCUUCUUUAUAUUUCAUGGAUUCCUAUUACUUCAGUGAUUGGAUAUGUGUGAAGAAAUCUCCAAUCUACCCCCAAGCUAGAUAGCUCUCAGCUCCCAGACUGCAUUUCCAAUCUCAUGCUAGACAUUCAUGCUUGUAGGUUUUUCCAUCAUCUCAGAUAAAAGAUAUAAAACAUUAAAAGCAUGCAAAGGAUAUAUGUGUAAGGAUGUGCAAUGCAACAUUGUCUAUAAUAUAGAAAAAUUGGAAACAAUCCAAAUGCCCAUCAAAAGAGAAUUGGGUAAAUAAACUGUGUACCACUGUGCAGACUAGAAAGAUUUAUAUAUUGAUGUGAAAAGAUGUCCAUGAUAUACCGUUCAGUAAAAAAGCAGCUUCAUCUGUGUAAAUACAUACAGUGCUCUUUUGAAUAAUUUUCCCUUCCUUUGAUCCCAAAGUCAAUGAUACUCAUUUGUAUGUUGAACAAUGAAUUUUAUAAUGCACACUUCAAAUGAAUGUAUAAGGGAAUUGAAAAAAGUACUAGGUAUUAUCUAUUAAGAGACUCCUGUUAACCACACACACAAAAACAGGUUUCAGAACUAUAGAGUUUAAUUUUAUUCAAUCAUUCAACAUGCAUUUAUUAAGCACCUAUUAUGUGCCAGUUUCUGUUCCAGGUACUGGGGAUAUGCAGAGAGCAAGGCAAAGUCCUUGCUCUCACAGUUUUCUUUUUUUUUUUUUUUGAGACAGAGUU